AGCAGUUCUCAGGUGACGCACCCCAGAAUCAGGCUCCCUCCUCUAUGGUUCUGGGUGUGCCACACGGAAACUACA
rfam:Myotis davidii contig192130, whole genome shotgun sequence.